AAUAUAGUGCCUGAUUUAAAAGGGUAGCAUUGAUAGCGCUAAUCAUGUAGUUUGACUACCUAUAUUA
rnacentral:tRNA from 1 species